rnacentral:lncRNA from 1 species
AUAGUUGUUAUGGCAGGAGGGCUAGUCUUGUAAGUCACCUCUCCAUUAGCAAAAGUGGAAACUUCAUCAUAAUUAUUUUAUUCUCUUUGUUUGUUACUCCCUUGUAGCCAUUUAAGUGUUUUCUCUGUUGCAUUUUCUUGCUUCAACAUGUGCCUUGGAGUUUUUGAUUGAAUGCCAGGCAUUUUGUGAAGUAGAACAACAAAGACAGGUAAACACAGUCUGAAUCCAAAUAAUAGUAUACCGUAUCAUAUCUUCAGUCAGAAAACAUUGAGGGGAGUGCUCUGAGUGAGUCUAAUCUUUAGAUGGCCUGGGUCAGGUUAUUCUUGCAGGUUUAAUUGAUUUUCUUUGCCUCUAAUUUCAAAUUUCUGAGGGCCAUCUUGGGAUUUUAGAUUUCAUUUAGAAAGUCUCGAGAUCAGAACUGUAGAAAUAUUCCAGAGUUCUCAUUAUCCUUUAAAAAUGAGCUGCCAGUUUUCUGAAUGCUGCGAGGUCUCACUCUACUUUGUAGACUAGCAUUAAGCUUUUUGGUUACUGAAGAAUUUUCUAUGUGAAUUCCCACCACGUCCCCUGCUUUCUGUGCUGCCAGAGAUAUCUCUUGUCUUUGCUGCUCCAUUCUAACUUUCAGAAGACAGCUGCAGUACACUUGUGAAAAAGAGACUUCUGUCAGCUUUCCUGCUGGCCUUUGGUGCAUUUCCUGUUUUGCAUUUCAUAUGGGAAUGAGUGUUUGUGUUGGUGUAGGCUCAGUCUGUGGUUACUGCUCUUUAGGAUUUGAAUCAAUUUUUCUAGUUCCAGAUACAUUUCAUAAAUGUAUAGAAGAUAACCAAGCUGAGAAUCAGAAAAGCUAAGAAGCUUGCUCAAGAAUGGAUAAUAAUAAAAGGAAGCUUCGCCAAGGCACUGUAACUCAGAGAUCCCUCAUCUGAACUCCUAAUGAAGUGUAAUAGCUGCCGGUGGUUGACCACUUGCCAAGCCCUAGGUGAAGCAUUUUAUUUGUGUCAUGCCAUUUAAUAAUUGCAACGUCUCUAUCACAAAAGUCCUGUGUGUUCCACAUUUCAUGUGUGAGGAAAUUAAGACUUACGGAUUUUAAGUAACCUGUCCAAAGUUACUUCUAAUCUGUGUCGGAGCUCGUAUUUCAACCCUGUCAGUCGGAUGCCAGACUUGGCACUUGUGCUGGUGUGAUUUCUGCUUUCCUAUGGCACAGACAGCCUCAGCCAAUCACAUGGCACUUUCACAGUUUUCGUUUGACAGAUUUGAGAUGAAUAUCUUGUGAGCAAAUGAACCUCAAUUCAACACAGACAUGUGGAGCACCAAUUGGGUUUUCAGCCGGCUGUGUGCAAGGAUCCACCACGAUGGGGUGGGAGGUGGGAAAAGGAAACCAUUAAAUUUGGUCCCUACCUAGGGAGAAUUUAGAUAUGCAUGUAAGCUGUGGAGAAUUGGACAGGAGAACAUAUGGUGAAGUGGCCAAAUGUGUGAAAAGCAAGCUAUAAAAUAUGUGUUUUAGCUAAAACCGAGAACUGAAAGAAGAGGCUAAAUAGGCUAAAUAGUAUAAAGGAACAUCUUCCAAAAUCAGUGGCAAAGCCACUCUCAGCUCAUAUGGUGACAGACUGGCUGCCUAAUGUCCUAAAAACUCCGUCAUGUAUCCAUUGCACUGGGGGUAUUUAGAAUGCCCUCUCAUUUUAAUAUUUAUUUAGAAGUUAAUUACUGUCACUGUCAGCUCUUUUAUCUCAACAACAUUUCAGAGAAAUGUAUUCAGGCAUUAUGUGACUUGUAAGUAAGAUUAACAAGAAAGUUCACAGACGUGUCAUAAUCAAGGGAUUUGGCUGUUAAUAAAGAACCUACUGAAAAAUGAGUUAACACUACACAGAAUUUGAAUUUGGCUAAAGCA